AGUGCAAGCUUUGGCACUAUCUAUACUAAAGUUGAAACAUUAGAGAGAUUAGCAUGGCCCCUGCAUGAGGAUGACACACAAAUUCCGGAAGUGUUUAAAUUUUUU